rnacentral:rRNA from 1 species
CAGUAGCCACGGGAAUACGUAGGGUGCAAGCGUUAUCCGGAAUUAUUGGGCGUAAAGAGCUCGUAGGCGGUUUGUCGCGUCUGCUGUGAAAACUGGAGGCUCAACCUCCAGCCUGCAGUGGGUACGGGCAGACUAGAGUGCGGUAGGGGAGAUUGGAAUUCCUGGUGUAGCGGUGGAAUGCGCAGAUAUCAGGAGGAACACCGAUGGCGAAGGCAGAUCUCUGGGCCGUAACUGACGCUGAGGAGCGAAAGCGUGGGGAGCGAACAGGAUUAGAUACCCCUGUAGUCCCUGUCUCUUAUAA